UACGUAGGGUGCAAGCGUUGUCCGGAAUUAUUGGGCGUAAAGAGCUCGUAGGCGGUUUGUCGCGUCUGCUGUGAAAUCCCAGGGCUUAACCCUGGGCCUGCAGUGGGUACGGGCAAACUAGAGUGCGGUAGGGGAGAUCGGAAUUCCUGGUGUAGCGGUGAAAUGCGCAGAUAUCAGGAGGAACACCGGUGGCGAAGGCGGAUCUCUGGGCCUUACCUGACGCUGAGGCGCGAAAGCUAGGGGAGCGAACAGG
rnacentral:rRNA from 1 species